UACGAAGGGGGAUCGAGUCGUCGCGGAAUUACUGGGCGUAAAGGGCGCGUAGGCGGGUUGCUAAGUUAGAGGUGAAAGCCCAGGGCUCAACCCUGGAAUUGCCUUUAAUACUGGCAGCCUUGAGUAUGGCAGAGGUGUGUGGAACUCCGAGUGUAGAGGUGAAAUUCGUAGAUAUUCGGAAGAACACCAGUGGCGAAGGCGACACACUGGGCCAUUACUGACGCUGAGGCGCGAAAGCGUGGGGAGCAAACAGG
rnacentral:rRNA from 1 species